rnacentral:rRNA from 1 species
UAAUUAAGCGGAGGAAAAGAAACUAACCAGGAUUGUCUCAGUAAGGGCGACUGAAGCGACAAUAGCUCACCAUGUGAAUCUGCCUUGGCCGAAUUGUGGUCUCACUUGCGUUACGAGCUGGGCCAAGUCCGUUGGAAUACGGCAGCCAAGAGGGUGAGACUCCCGUGUGCCCGGCCCUUGAAGCGAGUGUCGUCGAGUCGAGUUGUUUGGGAUUGCAGCUCUAAGCGGAUGGUAAAUUCCAUCGAAGGCUAAAUACUGGUGGGAGACCGAUAGCGUACAAGUACCGUGAGGGAAAGAUGCAAAGAAGCGCGAAAGCGCUGUUAAAGAGUACCUGAACUUGCUGAAACGGAAGCGAAGGAAACCAGUGCCAGCUGCGUCAUACUUUCCCAUUUGCUUGCGAGUGGGGCGCUGUGGCCAGCGUUGUCAGAACUAGUGGGAGGGUACGGAAGAGCGCGGUGGGAGAUGACCUCCGUUGCAUGCGUGCCAUCUGACUGAGGUUGACGAAAUGGUUUCCUUCUUCCCG